rnacentral:lncRNA from 1 species
UAGAAGUGGAGUGACCUGCCCCAAAGCCACAGCCUCUGGUCCAUUAUUUUAUAGACUAAAUGAUAGAUGUUCAAUGAUAAGGUCUGACUGAGGUUUAUCUUAGGGCUUAGGAAGCUAGCCUUUAAAAAAAAUUUUUUUUUUUAGGCUCUGCUGUGUCAGACACCCGUGGUUUUUGGUGUAGUGACUGUACAAAAGAAGGAAGUUGUUUUCUGCAACUCAAGGUGGGAA